CACUCUGGGACAAGCCCUGGAAACGGGGUCUAAUACCGGAUACUGACCCUCGCAGGCAUCUGCGAGGUUCGAAAGCUCCGGCGGUGCAGGAUGAGCCCGCGGCCUAUCAGCUUGUUGGUGAGGUAAUGGCUCACCAAGGCGACGACGGGUAGCCGGCCUGAGAGGGCGACCGGCCACACUGGGACUGAGACACGGCCCAGACUCCUACGGGAGGCAGCAGUGGGGAAUAUUGCACAAUGGGCGAAAGCCUGAUGCAGCGACGCCGCGUGAGGGAUGACGGCCUUCGGGUUGUAAACCUCUUUCAGCAGGGAAGAAGCGAAAGUGACGGUACCUGCAGAAGAAGCGCCGGCUAACUACGUGCCAGCAGCCGCGGUAAUACGUAGGGCGCAAGCGUUGUCCGGAAUUAUUGGGCGUAAAGAGCUCGUAGGCGGCUUGUCACGUCGGUUGUGAAAGCCCGGGGCUUAACCCCGGGUCUGCAGUCGAUACGGGCAGGCUAGAGUUCGGUAGGGGAGAUCGGAAUUCCUGGUGUAGCGGUGAAAUGCGCAGAUAUCAGGAGGAACACCGGUGGCGAAGGCGGAUCUCUGGGCCGAUACUGACGCUGAGGAGCGAAAGCGUGGGGAGCGAACAGGAUUAGAUACCCUGGUAGUCCACGCCGUAAACGGUGGGCACUAGGUGUGGGCAACAUUCCACGUUGUCCGUGCCGCAGCUAACGCAUUAAGUGCCCCGCCUGGGGAGUACGGCCGCAAGGCU
rnacentral:rRNA from 1 species